rnacentral:tRNA from 1 species
GGAGAAGUGCCAGAGUGGUUGAAUGGGCCGCACUCGAAAUGCGGUGUACCCUUGCGGGUACCGGGGGUUCGAAUCCCUCCUUCUCCGCCC